rnacentral:rRNA from 1 species
AGUUCGAUCCCGGCUCAGAUUGAACGCUGGCGGGAUGCUUUACACAUGCAAGUCAGAACGGCAGCACGGACUUCGGUCUGGUGGCGAGUGGCGAACGGGUGAGUAAUGUAUCGGAACGUGCCUAGUAGCGGGGAUAACUACGCGAAAGUUGCGGCUAAUACUGCAUACACCCUUCGGGGAAAGCGGGGACCUCGGGCCUCGCACUAUUAGAGCGGCCGAUAUCGGAUUAGCUAGUUGGUGGGGUAACGGUCACCAAGGGCGACGAUCCGUAGCUGGUUUGAGAGGACGACCAGCCACACUGGGACUGAGACACGGCCCAGACUCUACGGAGGCAGCAGUGGGAAUUUGACAAUGGGGAAACUCCUGAUCCAGCCAUCCCGCGUGUGCGAUGAAGGCCUUCGGGUUGUGUGUGCUAAUUUUUGGCAGGAAAGAAACGGCACGGGAUAAUACCCCGUGCAACUGACGGUACCUGCAGAAUAAGCACCGGCUAACUACGUGCCAGCAGCCGCGGUAGCACAGCGUAAGCGUUAAUCGGAAUUACUGGGCGCAGCGCAGGCGGUUCGGAAAGAUGUGAAAUCCCAGAGCUUAACUUUGGAACUGCAUUUUUAACUACCGAGCUAGAGUGUGUCAGGAGGAGGUGGAAUUCCGCAAAGAACAGCAGAUAUGCGGAGGAACACCGAUGGCGAAGGCAGCCUCCUGGGAUAACACCGACGCUCAUGAACGAAAGCGCAAGAUGUCAGAUUAGAUACCUUUGUGUCCACGCCCUAAACGAUGCUCAACUAGCUGUUGGGGCCUUCGGGCCUUGGUAGCGCAGCUAACGCGUGAAGUUGACCGCCUGGGGAGUACGGUCGCAAGAUUAAAACUCAAAGGAAUUGACGGGGACCCGCACAAGCGGUGGAUGAUGUGGAUUAACGUUGAUGCAACGCGAAAAACCUUACCUACCUGAUGUCUGGAAUCCCGAAGAGAUUUGGGAGUGCUCGCAAGAGAACCGGAACACAGGUGCUGCAUGGCUGUCGUCAGUCUUCGUGUCGCGAGAUGUUGGGUUAAGUCCCGCAACGAGCGCAACCCUUGUCAUUAGCUGCCGGAGCGCCAGCACCCCCAUCGAGACUGCCGGUGACAAACCGGAGGAAGGUGGGGAUGACGUCAAGUCCUCAUGGCUCUUAUGGUAGGCUUCGCCACGUCAUACAAUGGUCGGGACAGAGGGUCGCCAACCCGCGAGGGGGAGCCAAUCCCAGAAACCCGAUCAGUCCGGAUCGCAGUCUGCAACUCGACUGCGUGAAGUCGGGAACGCUAGUAAUCGCGGAUCAGCAUGUCGCGGUGAACGUUCCCGGUCUUGUACACACCGCCCGUCACACCAUGGGAGUGGGUUUACCAGAAGUAGUUAGCCUAACCGUAAGGAGGGCGAUUACCAGUAGGAUUCAUGACUGGGGUGAAGUCGUAACAAAGGUAA